rnacentral:lncRNA from 1 species
AAUCAAAGAUGCAAAUAACACCAGAAACUCCAGGAAGGAUCCCUGUUUUAAAUCCUUUUGAAAGUCCUAGUGAUUAUUCUAAUCUCCAUGAACAAACUCUCGCCAGUCCUUCUGUUUUUAAAUCAACAAAAUUACCAUUUUUCACUAAAGAUGUCAUCGUACCCUCUCCUUGGACUGAUCAUGAAGGGAAACAGCUUUCACAAUGUCAUUCCAGUAAAUGCACUAACAUAAAUAGUGACUCUCCAGUUGGAAAAAAGCUG